rnacentral:tRNA from 1 species
GGAUGUAGCUAAGUGGCACAGCGCCUGCCUGGCAAGCAUGAGGUCCUGAGUUUGAUCCCCAGUACCA